GUGCCCUUUUGGCUACCGAUUAUUGCAACCUUCUUCCUGCUCAUGCUCGAACCUCUCUCAACAAGGUAUUUUCUCUUCUUCUUCUUCUUCUUCUUCUUCUUCUUCUUCUUCUUCUUCUUUUCCUUCAUAAAUCAUAAUAUAUAAUAUUACUUUAAUUCAUCCAUGCACCUAAUUCUCUUUUAAUUAAUUUACAGAUUGUGUUUACUGUUUUCACUCCAUGUCUCAUGUUUGCAAAUUUGGCCAAAACAGUCACCUUUCAAGACAUUGUUUCAUGGUACGUAAUUUAUCGUUUAAUUUUGUGUCAUUUGAUUUCUUUUUGUCAGUCAUAUCAAUAUUAAAGUGGAAUGAUUAUUUUAUAUUAGGUGGUUCAUGCCAGUGAACAUUGGUCUUACUUUUCUAUUUGGAGGAAUAUUGGGAUGGAUAGUUGUUAAAAUAUUGAAACCCAAGCCAUAUCUUGAAGGCCUUGUCAUUGCAGCCUCUUCUUCUGGUUGCUUUCUUAACUACCCUUUGCUUCGUCUUCUGUGUUGUUCUUCAUUUCUAUAUUCUUGUUUUCUCUAAUCAAAUAUAUUAAUGAUUUUAGGGAACUUAGGUAACCUUCUUCUCAUCAUCGUCCCUGCUAUCUGUGAUGAGGAUGGUAGCCCUUUCGGUGACCGCGAUACCUGCACUUCUCUCGGACUCUCUUAUGCUUCCUUUUCCAUGGCGGUAAAUAUCCGAUUCAUUUAACAUGGUAUUGUUGGAUCAAGAACGAAUGAUUAGUUUGAUAUUUAUAUGUUUGAAAUAUUGGCGAACUUUCAGCUAGGUGGGUUUUACCUGUGGACCUAUACUUAUCAGCUUGUGAAAACCUCGUCCAUGCGAUUGAAAGCACUUGAAGUUGAAGAAGCAGAGGAGCAGUUGAAAGCACCCAACCAUGCCUCCAAUGGAGAUCUACAAGCUCACCUUCUCAAUAAAC
rnacentral:lncRNA from 1 species